CUUCACCGACCCCAGCCACAGCGGGUGGCCGGCUUGCCUGUGCUGCCCGUACGUGGCCAGCAAGGCGUCGGCCUC
rnacentral:antisense_RNA from 1 species